GGGGAUUAGUGGCGAACGGGUGAGUAACACGUGGGCAAUCUGCCCUGCACUCUGGGACAAGCCCUGGAAACGGGGUCUAAUACCGGAUACGACACACUCCCGCAUGGGAUCUGUGUGGAAAGCUCCGGCGGUGCAGGAUGAGCCCGCGGCCUAUCAGCUUGUUGGUGAGGUAACGGCUCACCAAGGCGACGACGGGUAGCCGGCCUGAGAGGGCGACCGGCCACACUGGGACUGAGACACGGCCCAGACUCCUACGGGAGGCAGCAGUGGGGAAUAUUGCACAAUGGGCGCAAGCCUGAUGCAGCGACGCCGCGUGAGGGAUGACGGCCUUCGGGUUGUAAACCUCUUUCAGCAGGGAAGAAGCGAAAGUGACGGUACCUGCAGAAGAAGCGCCGGCUAACUACGUGCCAGCAGCCGCGGUAAUACGUAGGGCGCAAGCGUUGUCCGGAAUUAUUGGGCGUAAAGAGCUCGUAGGCGGCUUGUCACGUCGGAUGUGAAAGCCCGGGGCUUAACCCCGGGUCUGCAUUCGAUACGGGCAGGCUAGAGUUCGGUA
rnacentral:rRNA from 1 species